rnacentral:rRNA from 1 species
GACAUGCAAGUCGAACGGCAGCAGACCGCUUUCGGGUGGUGCUGGCGAGUGGCGAACGGGUGAGUAAUACAAAGGGAACUUGCCUCGGAGUGGAGCAUAACCCCGAGAAAUCGGGGCUAAUUCUCCAUAUAAUCGUGAUACAUAAGUAUCAGGAUGAAAGGCUUCGGUCGCUCUGAGAUAGUCCUUUGUGCUAUCAGCUUGUUGGUGAGGUAACGGCUCACCAAGGCGAUGACGGCUAGGGGGUGUGAGAGCAUGACCCCCCCACAUGGGAACUGAGACACGGUCCCAACUCCUACGGGAGGCAGCAGUCUAGAAAUUUGGGCAAUGGGCGCAAGUCUGACCCAGCGACGCCGCGUGAGGGAUGAAGUCCUUCGGGAUGUAAACCUCUGUUGAGGGGGACGAUAAUGACGGUACCCCUCGAGGAAGCCUCGGCUAACUCCGUGCCAGCAGCCGCGGUAAUACGGAGGAGGCAAGCGUUGUCCGGAAUCACUGGGCGUAAAGGGUGUGUAGGUGUCCUGAUGGGUCAGGUGUGAAAUCCAACAGCUUAACUGUUGAACUGCAUCUGAAACUAUCGGGAUUGAGGACAUGAGGGGAGAGUGGAACUCGCGGUGUAGCGGUAGAAUGCGUGGAUAUCGCGAGGAAUGCCGAUGGCGAAGGCGGCUCUCUAGCGUGUUCCUCGUAUGAGGAGCCGAAUAAUUUUAAUCUUCGGGUUAUGAUUA